rnacentral:lncRNA from 10 species
AAAACAGGAACCCGGCCAUUUUGAUGAACGGCGCCCAGAGCGCUGGCGGGAGACAAGGAGGGUCAGGUUCUGACUCCUGCACCCCCGGCUGCCCUAACCGGCUCACCCCUGCCAGGCCCAGGGAUCAAGCCAGAGAGAGCGACACGAAACCAGGGUCACCAGACCGACAGGGAAGCUGCUAUAGAACCCCCACCCUCUUGUAUAGGUGAGGAAACUGAGGCCAUAGCGCUGACACUAGCCAGAUGCAGGGAAGGCAAACGGAAGGAUUAAGAAAGCCCCAGAAGGAUGCCUUGAGGAAUGUCGGGUAGGAGCGCUCGUCUGAGGAGCUAGAAGGCUAACUCCAGCCCGCUACAAUAGCCCACCCCAAAGGAGUCUGCACACCUGGAACCCACCCCUACGGCGCGCCCUCAUGAGGGCGCUCCCAGCGCCUCUAACCCUCCAAGUAGCGAGAGGGUUAAGCUUCCUCGCAGUACUUGCCGCAUGCACGGUCUCCAUGGCAACCGCGGAGGAGGUCACGGUAGCUGGGCCCCCGCGCGUCACCCCGCGCCUCGCCGGCUGCAGGCGCCGGGAUUGCGGCCUCCCAGGCGCCGCGGCCCGCGUGGACUCAGCUCCGAGUUCUCCGCCCCCGCUCCGCCCUGCUCGCGGCUCAGGCCCCAGCCAUAUGACUCUGCCAGGUCCCAACCGCGAAUGGCGCACCUGGGCACCAGUGCGCUAGGCUAUACCUCUGUCCCCGGGCUCUAACACGCGGGACUGCACCACGAAACACGUGCCCAACCCCAAGACAAGAACACGUGCGGCAAGACGCCGCCAAGGGGCUCUCUGCAUUCGUGGAUGCCCUGGGUAAUCGACCUAUAUUGGCGCACAACUGCAGAGCUCUUGCUAAGACGCGACCACCCGAGGCUAACAACGCUGGCUUUGGAGUCAGAGCCCAGCCCCGCCUCGAUAACUUACUAGCUGUGUGACUUCGGCCAAGUCACCACCUCUCUGCGCCUCAGCUUCCUCAUCAGCAAAAUGGAAUUGUUGUGAGGCCUAAUUGAUACAAAAUACGUUCAACGCCUAUCAUGGUGUUUGGCACGUGGUUCUGAAAAUCUGUGGUUGGAGUUAUUUCUUCUUGGCUGUGAAAGCCAAGGCCCUAAAGACUUUGAAUAGGGGCGCGCGCUUAGCCCGGAGGCUAGGAGUUCCGCCUCGGGAGCUCCCCAGCACCUCAGCCUAGGCGCACAGGCGGCUAGUGGGAGGCGCGUGCGGGCUGCUUAGGGACUGGGCCAGCCUGGGGCGCGGCGGGCGGGGUUGCAGUCUCCAGAGCUCGCCACGUCCGCACCCGGAACCCUGGAAACGGGGCUCCCAGAGGCUCCCCCGCUACCAUCCCCCCGCCCC